UCCGAUAUGGUGUAGUGGCCAACAUGAUGCCCUCUCAUCUCAAAUGAGAGGUUAGGCAUAGCCCCGAGUUCGAUUCUCGGUUUCGGAA